ACGGAGGGUCCGAGCGUUAAUCGGAAUUACUGGGCGUAAAGCGUACGCAGGCGGUCAUUUAAGUCAGAUGUGAAAGCCCCGGGCUCAACCUGGGAACUGCAUUUGAAACUGGAUGACUAGAGUGCGACAGAGGGUGGUAGAAUUUCAGGUGUAGCGGUGAAAUGCGUAGAGAUCUGAAGGAAUACCAAUGGCGAAGGCAGCCACCUGGGUCGACACUGACGCUCAUGUACGAAAGCGUGGGUAGCAAACAGG
rnacentral:rRNA from 1 species